GGGUUGACUCGGCGAGUAGAGUCACUCAGGGGUUGACGUUGACUUGCCUUGACCAUGAGUAACCAGUUGUCUUCCAGGGGUAUUUUGAUAAUUCUUGGUUAUUUUUUUGAGUUCAGUGUUUCGGUGGUUGGCGGGUGGUGGAAAUCUUAUCAGUGGUCGGAGCAGCUUGGGUUUAUCUGUUUAGUCGGCAGUUGCAAGGUGAGUUAUCCUCAUUAUAUCAACAGGGUCUAAGGCACCAAGGCCGUCCCUUAAUCGGAUUGAGAUCCGGGUAUUUGUUGUUAUGUUAUUGGUGUGAUAUGUUUGCAUCCUGGUAAUUAGGAUGGUACGUGUUAGAGACCUGGUUGAGGUCGGUAUCAUGUUAUGUAGAGUGAUGCUAUGCUAGUGCCCGGUUAGGUCGGUAUCCUGGUUAGGAUGAUGAGAUGCUAUGUGAUCUGUCUGAUCGGUUUGUUGACUGUGGAUUAUUAUAUGAUUGUAUGUUUAUGUGCACAUGGUUGUUUUUACUGGAGUUGGGUUGAGGCGGGUCCUGCUUUGUGCUGUAGGCCAAGAUACCCAGGGCGAACCGGUUGUCCCGAAGGCCCAGCGAGCGGUCCGGAUAGGCUGUAGGCCCCAAGAGGGCGGACUAGACGUGCCGAGGCUCGGAGAGUGGACCAGACCGACUGAAGGCCCGGUGCGGGCGGACCAGUCAUACUGUAGACUCAGAGAGUGGACCAGGUAGAUUGAAGGCCCGGUGCGGGCGGACCAAUCACACUGCAGACUCGAUGUAUAUGGCUAGACUCGGAGGGUGGACCGGGUGGACUGUUGGCCGGUGCGGUGGACCAGUCACACAGUAGACCCGAAGUGCAUGGGUGUUCUGUGAUCGGAUAUGUUAUGGCAUGUCAUGCGUGUAUGGUAUAUGUGGUUGGUAUUUUGGGGAUAUCUCACUAAGCUUUCGGGCUUACAGUUGUGGUUUAAUGUUUUUCAGGUUCUUCAGGAGACCGUGGCAAUGUGAAGGCGUGAUCGUACCGCUCCUUAUGUUUUUGUCGUGAUGUGAUUCUGGGAAUAUUUUAAAUAAAUUGUAUUGAAAACCUUUUUGUAAUAAUUUAAUGACAUCGGGUUGUUUUUGAAAAGUUUAAAUUGGUUGGAAUUUUUUGGUUGUUACAAGUUGGUAUCAGAGCCUUGGUUUGAGUGAAUUGGAGGAACCACUCGUGUGACUCCAGUCUCAAAUCGAGGAGAGUUUUCAAAAGAGAAUUUAAAAUGGUUUUCAAAAUGAGUAAAGGAGGACGCGGAGGUACGAUCAGCCGGAGCUAGUAAGUGACCCCAAAAUACCAUACAUGAUAUUUGUUUUUGAGCUUUGUUAGAACAGCAUGCUAGUGCUAGGCUAGGGAUCUUCAGGAUUUCAUGGUAAUGUUGCCUGAUGAUGCCUGUAGCCUAGGGUUUUCUUGUGGGAGAUUUCCAGUGUUCCUCUAGUGGUGAGGGUUGAGCGCUUGUUUGUAUGUUUUCUCUAGGGCGUUGUGGUAGUACUUCAUACAAAUAUGGGUUGGUGUGGAAGGUAGUAUGGGCCCGUACUACUGAAUGCACAGGACCCAUACGCGUAUCAGGGAAACCAUGACCUCUAGGGCUGGGUUGAGGGUUGGUUCCCGGGUUGUGGGAAGUGUCUGAGAUUUUGUGGUGUUUUUCAGUAUGGAGAUUCCGAGGCAUGUUGGGAGUGGAUCCAGGUCAGGAUCGGGAGCAGGAGAGGGAGUCCAGGGCGGGUCUGUGCCGCCCGGGGUUGUUGGUCAGAUGAGCUCGUGCGAGUUGGAUGCGAGGAUUCGUGAGAUCCUGCAUGACCAGGUUGCUGCAUUGUUCCGGGCUGAGUUGCCGGAACUGUUUAGGUCGAUCAAGACCGCCAUGGUUAAGUAUUUUGAUGAGCACUAUGCGGCUCUCACAGAGACAGCUGCCGCGGUAGCUACAGCGGCUAUAGCAGCAGCAGCAGGAGGAGUUGGUCGGGGUUUUCAGUAUCGGGACUUCGAUAAUACGAAGCCUCCCACCUUUGAUGGAGUUCAGGACCCGAUUGUUGCUAUGAGAUGGUUAUCGGACGUGGAGGGGUGUUUCUUCACGUGUUCAUGCCCUGCUGAUCAGAGGGUGAGGUGUGCUCUGAACCUGUUGAGGCUUGGGGUGAAGGAUUGGUGGAGAUUGACCACGGGGUCAUACUCGGAUGUGCAAAGGGCUGCGAUUUCAUGGGAUCAGUUCAGAGAGAUGUUCAGCACUCUUUAUGUCCUGCAGGUUGAGAGGGAGAGAUUGGCUCAGGAGUUCCUUGAGCUGAAGCAGGAUUCGGAAUCGGUGACUGAGAUCACCAGGAUGUUCACUGAGAGGGAGAUGUUUUGCCCUGAGUUCGCUUCGGAGCAGGCUCAGAUGUCCCGAUAUCUGAGUAUGCUCAAGAGGGAUAUCAGACAGUUUGUGUCUACGCAGAGGUGCGAGACUUUGUUGGAGUUGCAGGAGGCCGCCAGGCGGCGUGAGUUAGAGAUUGAGUUGCAGUUGCGUGAGCUGAGGCAGGCUCCGGUGCAGUCGCAGCCGGCGCCGAAACGGUCCAAGACCGUUGAUUCUAGAGUGGGGGAUCUGAGCAGCCACACUUGUGGGAAGUGUGGGAGGAGUCACACCGGAGUUUGUAGGUCCGGUGGUGCAUGCCGCAAGUGCGGAAAGGAGGGGCACUAUGCGAGGGAUUGUAGGCAGUCAGCGCCGGUUCGGGAUUUGAGGAUUUGUUAUCAUUGUCAUCAGGUUGGACAUUUGAGGGUCAACUGUCCACAGCUUGCUGCAGGACCGGUGCAGGCUCCAGUACCGGCCACUUUGAGGAUCACAGGUGGAGGUCAGGGUGGAGUGGAGCCCCCAAGGGCUCAGGGUCGUGCUUUUCAGCUUGCAGCAGAGGAGGUCAGGGCAGUGCCGAAGGCAGCUGCAGGUAUGUUUCUUUCUUGAUAUCUUGUUUUUUUUAUGAUUAUUGUGGAAUAUUGUUAUCUGCUAGUCUCAUGUGUGGUUUUCGGUAUUAUAUUCGUUGAUUUUGAGGGUUAUGGUAUGGUUAUGGGUUUAGUGUUGGGAAUUUCGUUGGUUUUCAUUCAUGAAGGUUAUUAGUGGAAAUCUGGCAUUGGUUUGAAUGUCGGGUAGCAUCUGCAGUCUGAGGAGUGGUUAGCUGAAGAUCGUUUCUUUUGAGCCGGGAUGAUCAAUGUUGAUAUGUGAUUUCGUGAAGGUUGCUCGUUCUAGUGGGAAUCAGUUCGCGUGUAAGUGUUGGUUUUGUGCAGGGUUGUUCUGGGAGGUCGGUGAUAGCGGUCGGUGGUUGAUAGCCAGUGCCCUAAGUGGGGGAGAAUUGGAAAAUUCUAUGGAUGAUCGUUGAGUAUGUGAGAUUGUUGAGCUGUCUGGAAUUCAGCAGUGAUCUGUCAGCCUAGAGUGUAGGCUGGUAUGAGUAAGUGUCGGGCAUGCGGGGCGGGGUGCAGACCUAGGGCAUUUGAUUGUGGAGGGCCUGGGAUCAGGUCGGGAUCGAUUAUGUGUGAUGGAGAUAGAGUUCGGAACCCCUAGGGGGCUAGAACAGUAUGCAUGGGAGGAUUUCCUGGAGAGAUGACUCGGAUGAGGAAUGCUAGUUGAGCGGUCCGGAUAGACUGAAGGCCAGUAGGCGUACCAGUCAGGCCGAAGGAUCGGAGAACGGUUCAGCUAGACUGAAGGCCCUGGAGGGCGGUCCAGAUUGGCUGAAGGUUCUGAGAGUGGUCCAGAUUGGCUGAAGGCCUGGUAAGGCGGUCCAGCCAUGCUGAAGACUCUGCGGGUAUUGUUAGAUCAGUGCGAGGAAAUGGUUUGAGUAUGUUGCGUUGUGUUAGCAUUAGAAGGUAUGGCCCCGGGUAUUGAUCUUGAUUAGUGGAGAUAGUGCAUGGGCUUGAGAGUCCCUGCGAUCAGAGUCAGAGCAUGUGUGUUUGAUGGAUAGCGGUUACGCUAUGAAGGAGUGGUGUAGCAUUGGGCAAGCGUUGUGGCACUUGUGGUAGUGUCAAGGCAGCCAAGUGGUUUUCCUUGGUAAGGAUAGGGAAGAAUGUAGCUCCGAGAGGGAGCGUAAGUUCAUGGAAGUGAAAGCAGCAGUGCAGAGUUAUGGUUGUAGUAAUCCAAGUAUGGUCAUUGAGCAGCGUGUUUGCGGUAGUGGUAUAGAAUCCCAACCGGAUUGGAUGUCUGUUGAGGUAACGGAAGGAAUUCCGAGGGUGUAAAGCCAAGAGGCUCGGAAGGGAUGCAGGGAUAGAGUCUUGGAUUCCCAACGAUCUUGAUCAAGGAAUGGAGUAUGUAGGGGUAAUUCAUCCUGGGGGAUGUUUGGGGGUAUCGUCAGUGUGAUGGGUUUUUCCAACCCGAGGGUGUUAGAGCUAGUUCAGCAUGUGUAUGUGAUUGCAAGAGGAGAACUCAUGGGAGUUGCUCUGAAGAAUGUAUCAUUUUAUCGGCAUGGGAUGAAUAGAGUCGGACUCGGAUCGGGAAUCCGGUGGUUCGUGGUUAUUUCUAGCUCAUAUGGGUCGAGCAAUUGUUGUAAUUUGGAGCAGUGAUGCAUCAUGGGUAGUACUCAGUUGUUAAGUGGGGUUAUCAGAGAGUAAAGUCGGUGGUCGGCUUGAGACGGUGGUCAGGACACCGUAAGAAAGGAAAAGGUGGGUUCGAGUUUCGAAGGUUGUGCCUUGAGGAACCUGGUUUGGUUAAUGCUAGGUGGCGCGUUGCGGGAGUAUUUCUAGAGUUGAGUUGCCGCAGGCUUCGAGGACGAAGCCUAAUCUAAGCGGGGGAGAAUUGUAACAUCCCAGAAUAUCAAGAGUAAAGUUGAAGGGCUAAAAGAGUAAUUUGGAAGGGGAACUCGGCGAGUCCAUGGGUGGACUCGACGAGUAGGGUCGCGACUUGGUCGCGUGUUAAGUGGCCGACUCGGCGAGUCUGCGGAUGGACUCGGCGAGUAGGCGCUGAGUGGAGAAAACCCUAAAUCCGGAGGAUGAGCCCUAUAUAAAGAACAUAACAUCCUUUCCCCCAGCCUCUCUAUUCUCUCUUAAGUCCAGAAACCCUAGUUGUCGUGUGUGAGAGGAUCAAAGUGCAUUUGGAGGCUUGGAGAGGUGGUUGUUGAAGAAAUCUUGAAGGAGAGAGGCUUGGAUCAAAGGGCUUUGCAAGGAAUCGAGUUAAUCUUCUCUUGGAGCUUCCUUUUGAGGUAUUAUUUCAUUGUUUGAGCUGCUAUUAUCUUGAUUCAUCAUUUUUGGAGGUGUUAGAGAUCUUAUCCUUUGGUGUAUUGGAGUUUAGAGGUUAGAUCUGAGGUUGCUACCUCAGAUCUGGAAUGGAGAAGGGUUAGAACGCAUAAGAGUCCCCGUUUGUGAGUGAUUGAAGGAUCUAUCUUGUCCUAAACCCAAACCCUAGAGUGAAAAGGCCUAGAUCUCUUUGGAUUCACGUAAAGUUUUCCACUUUACGUGAUGGGUGGCCUUAGGAGGGGUAGAUCUAUGGUUUGGAUCAUCUGCAUGGCUUGGGAAGCCUCUGUAUGGAUUCAGACCCGGUGGUACUCGGCGAGUCACAUGGGUGGACUCGGCGAGUUGCUUGAAGAUAAGUUGGGACUCGGCGAGUUGGAAGAACAACUCGGCGAGUUGGAUGAUGAUGGUCUGGAACUCGGUGAGUCGGAAGAACAACUCGGUGAGUAGGUUGAAGAUAGCCUUAGACUCGACGAGUCUGUUCUUGGACUCGGCGAGUCUUGACGAAGAGUCCCAAUCCUUUCUGGUUGAUCCAUGAAUCGGUGAGUCAUGGGGUGACUCGGUGAGUGGUGUGUGAGUGGACUCAGAGUUGUUGGACUCGGCGAGUGUCGGGGUGACUUGGCGAGUUGAGUCGCGGAUUGAGGAGGUUCUGUGUAUGAGGACUCGGCGAGUCAUCGGGUUGACUCGGCAAGUAGAGUCACUCAGGGGUUGACGUUGACUUGCCUUGACCAAGAGUAACCAGUUGUCUUCCAGGGGUAUUUUGGUAAUUCUUGGUUAUUGUUUUGAGUUCAGUGUUUUGGUGGUUGGCGGGUGGUGGAAAUCUUAUCAGUGGUCGGAGCAGCUUGGGUUUAUCUGUUUAGUCGGCAGUUGCAAGGUGAGUUAUCCUCAUUAUAUCAACAGGGUCUAAGGCACCAAGGCCGGCCCUUUAUCGGAUUGAGAUCCGGGUAUUUGUUGUUAUGUUAUUGGUGUGAUAUGUUUGCAUCCUGGUAAUUAGGAUGGUACGUGUUAGAGACCUGGUUGAGGUCGGUAUCAUGUUAUGUAGAGUGAUGCUAUGCUAGUGCCCGGUUAGGUCGGUAUCCUGGUUAGGAUGAUGAGAUGCUAUGUGAUCUGUCUGAUCGGUUUGUUGACUGUGGAUUAUUAUAUGAUUGUAUGUUUAUGUGCACAUGGUUGUUUUUACUGGAGUUGGGUUGAGGCGGGUCCUGCUUUGUGCUGUAGGCCAAGAUACCCAGGGCAGACCGGUUGUCCCGAAGGCCCAGCAAGCGGUCCGGAUAGGCUGUAGGCCCCAAGAGGGCGGACUAGACGUGCCGAGGCUCGGAGAGUGGACCAGACCGACUGAAGGCCCGGUGCGGGCGGACCAGUCAUACUGUAGACUCAGAGAGUGGACCAGGUAGAUUGAAGGCCCGGUGCGGGCGGACCAAUCACACUGCAGACUCGAUGUAUAUGGCUAGACUCGAAGGGUGGACCGGGUGGACUGUUGGCCGGUGCGGCGGACCAGUCACACAGUAGACCCGAAGUGCAU
rnacentral:lncRNA from 1 species